CAGACAGGCCUGUCCAAAACUUUUAAGCGUUUCUUUCUAUGGUUAUAAAUAAAUAAUCCUUCUUCUCUUUGACAGGAUUUUUUUUUUAACCACAACUGCUUUUCAUUAAUUUUUCAAGUGGAAAUAUAUUUCCCCUAGUGGAAAGUUGCCUCUCCUGUGAUGAGAGUCAUUGCUCAUUUUAAUAUUUUUACUGGGGAAGAACCAAAGCCCAAAUCCGCCAGGAGCAGCAGCCAAAAUCCUUUUGUGUAAGGAACCAGUAGUAAUCCUCAUGGUACUUAGGAGUUCGAAACAUGGAAACUUUGAAGUCAAGAAGUAAAUGAUAUGGUGCCUACAGCCAGCCCAUCAUGGAAGCCCUAUGAACUGAAGAUGUUUGGGUGGAACCUCAUGAGAUUUGGAAAUGUACUGUGCUCUAUAGCAAAGCUUCCUAAAUUGUGGAUCAUAACCCCAUGUGGGGUCACGUAACUGAAUGUAGGGGUUGUAAAAUUAUGAUUUAUUAUCAGUAAGCAUUUGAUUUAUAUUCCUAUUUUAUAUAUUUAUAAAUCUGGGGCUGUGUAAAAAUUUUUCUGGAGCAAAAGGAAAAGGUUUAAGAAGCCCUGGUCUAUAGGAACUGAGCUAAACUACAAACCUAAUCCCUUUCCCCUCCACAGAGACUAAUAUGGGGGUGGGGAGGAUUAUGUCUUCCUUUAUGUUGAUAGAGUAAGUUUGUAUAUUUGAAUAUUUCUUAUGAAAUAAAUAUUCCUUUGUAAAGAA